rnacentral:rRNA from 1 species
UACGUAGGGUGCAAGCGUUGUCCGGAAUUAUUGGGCGUAAAGAGCUCGUAGGCGGUUUGUCGCGUCUGCUGUGAAAACUCGGGGCUUAACUCCGGGCCUGCAGUGGGUACGGGCAGACUAGAGUGCGGUAGGGGAGACUGGAAUUCCUGGUGUAGCGGUGAAAUGCGCAGAUAUCAGGAGGAAUACCGGUGGCGAAAGCGACUCUCUGGACGGCAACUGACGCUGAGGCACGAAAGCGUGGGGAGCAAACGGG